CACAUGACUCUCGGCAACGGAUAUCUCGGCUCUCGCAUCGAUGAAGAACGUAGCAAAAUGCGAUACCUGGUGUGAAUUGCAGAAUCCCGUGAACCAUCGAGUUUUUGAACGCAAGUUGCGCCCAAGGCCUUCUGGCUGAGGGCACGUCUGCCUGGGCGUCACGC
rnacentral:rRNA from 1 species